rnacentral:sRNA from 1 species
GAAACGCCAACCCCGCACCAUCUCGGUGGGCAAGACGGGGACCGCCGACCGGUAACGGUCGGCUGUG